rnacentral:rRNA from 1 species
UACGUAGGGUGCAAGCGUUAAUCGGAAUUACUGGGCGUAAAGCGUGCGCAGGCGGUCUUGCAAGACAGAUGUGAAAGCCCCGGGCUUAACCUGGGAACUGCAUUUGUGACUGCAAGGCUGGAGUGCGGCAGAGGGGGAUGGAAUUCCGCGUGUAGCAGUGAAAUGCGUAGAUAUGCGGAGGAACACCGAUGGCGAAGGCAAUCCCCUGGGCCUGCACUGACGCUCAUGCACGAAAGCGUGGGGAGCAAACAGG